UCGGACGUGGUGUAUGGAGCACUGCGAUUUCCAGUGAGCGGUGGUAAUACUUACUACUUAUAUGUAUCUCGCAAGUCGCCGGGGUUCGAUUCCCCGCGUCCGAA